CUACACAUAGCUGUGUCCAGACCUCAGUUGGGUUCUCAGUAUCUGAAUCCAUCAUUUAAGGCUGGAGGAGAAAUUAGCUUCUCCGUCCAGUGUCCUGUGAUCGUAAUUGUUCCCUCAGCCACGUGAACAUAUCCCACAGCAUCAAUUUGACUUCAGUGGUUCAAGAACCGUACCAGUUCCAUAGAGAACCCAACAGUGUCACGAGCGCCAGGCUGGAGGCCUCCUUAUGCUCUUCAUGCCUCUGCUUGCUUCCUAAUGAUGAACAAACAUCCCUUUUCAAUGUUAGCUGAUCUCAUCUCAUCUAUCGUCUGAGAGGCCGACAGAUAAAAGGAAAUGAGGAGAGACUUAAUGACUUCCUGUGUUGAUCAUUUCCAACCUAAACAGUAUUAGGUGGUUUUCGUUUCGGAGUCGGUGGGGGCUGGGGGGCAUCGGACAGCGAUCAGGGUGAGACAGUCUCUGCACCGCACUCUGAGUGAAACCUGGCUGCAACGAAUCUGACGCUGCCUAUUUCUCCUGGAUGAAGCUGCUCUCUUGGAUUCUACUGCUGAGGGGUCACAAAUAUGUGUUCCGGAUGAUUAGUUCUGGGCUCUAUAUGGACAGAGGAGCACUUGAACCUAACGUCAGGAUACCAAGAAGAAACCUGAAACAGCAGCCGGGACAGAACGGGCAAAUGAGCUUAAAGAGACCAACAGCUGAUGGCUGUGUGUGUGCAGUACUUCCACACGAAUCAAAACGACUGAAAUAGAUGUGCUGCAGUGAGUUUCUUGGAUAAAGUUGUAGAUUCUACUGCUGACGGUAGAUAUAUGUGUUGCGGCUCAUCAGUUUUGAGCUACGUAUGUACGUAUUGACCUUUUAUUGUUUUGGCUCGCGCUGGGAAGUUAGAGUAACGUAACGAGCUUUGCAUGUUGGCGUGUCGGGAGCAGCACUAGCUUACAGUGCUAGCAUUAGCUUGUGCUUUAGCUUUGAGUGGCUGGCAGCAACUCUAAUACUAACUCAGUAAUUCCUUUCAUCCUUUUGUAGGUAAUAUCGGCCGGUCGCCUGAAGGGACAACGUCUGGUUUUUCCAGCCACUAACAGCAGAUGAAGAAAAGAGGGUUUUGACUAAAUGAGGAGCCUGUGACUUUCUAACAACUGUCUGCUUUGGUUCAAAAUAAACAGCUGCUAAACGA